AAGCCUGCUAAUUUCAAUCCACUAGUACAAUAGAAUGAUAAUUUAUUUAUAUAUGAAAACUCAAUUUCACAUUGUUAUCUUCAUAUUUAGUCUAUGGUAUUUUAUGUGAUUCACUUCUCCUUUAUUUCCACACAUCUCAGAAGGGGUCAGAAAUUCUAUUUCUUUUCUUUAAUUUUUAUUACAUAAUGGAUAAUACUGUAUCCCAUGGAGAUAAUUAUAUUGUGCUUUGGUGAUAGUUUUCAAUAUGAGUACAGAUAAUUAAACAUCCUCUCUAACAUAUUUUAAUAAGAGUUGCAAGUUUAAUGUGAUGGAUUAAAAUGAACUUUACACAUAUUAACAGUGGGAAGAAUAUUCCAUUGAGGAGAUAAAGAGCUGCUCUAAGAAAUGUGUUUGGAUUUCCCUAGAAGGGCAAAAAUAAAAGCUGUGUCUUAUGGAGUAAUACCUAAUCAAUGCAAUGAGUACCACCUCAGCAUGCUUCAUUCACUUCAGAUUGUCCAGAGACAUCAUGCAUGGAAUGUCAACCCUUCAGCCUCAUUACUUGGCCACCAAGUUCUAGAUGCUAAGAUGAUGCCAACCAGACUUCCCUGGGCAGAUGACCCCACCGAUGUGUCCUGGAGCCCCGCUUCCCCAGAGCCCCACCACACUAGGGAAAGAGAGAGACAGGCUGGGAGUAUGGAUUGACCUAUCAAUGCCCAUGUUCAGUGGGGAAGCAAUUACAGAAGCCAGACCUUCUACUUUCUGCACCCGAUAAUGACCCUGGGUCCAUACUCCCAGAGGAUUAAAGAAUAGAAAGCUAUCAGGGGAGGGGGUGGGAUAUGGAGUUCUGAUGGUGGGAAUUGUGUGGAGUGGUACCCCUCUUAUCCUAUGUUUUUUGUCAGUGUUUCCUGUUUAUAAAUAAAAUUUAUUAAAAAAGGAAGAUAGAGGAGUUUGUACUCCAUUUUUCAGGCAAGGGAAGGACAAGACAGGACAGCGUCAGAACAUUUCAAGAAAAUUAAUUAGGUAGAAUGAGAGAAGUGAAGAGAGAUAUUGGGAUUCAGCAGCCUCCUGGCUUUUGGUGCCCUUGUCUUCCCAGUAUGAACAAUCAUAUUUUCUCUCUUCAAGGUUACCGAUAUUCAGAUGAAGCAGUUUUUAUAACUGAUGGACCUGGCCUUGUAGAUACUGAGGGUUUGUUUCUCUCCUUCCAAAUCUCUAUUCUUCUAGUAGGCUUCCAGUUUCCUAAGUAAUCAUAUCUCUCAGACAUAACUGUGAGCUGACAACAUACAAGUGGAUGGAAUAGAUGCCUGCAGUCUGUAUAGAAACAGAUGUAGACUAUUUUCAUUAAAAAGGCUUGGGGACAAGAGGAAGAUUUGUAGGAGGCAGAAGGAUAUAGAAAUGUCAUUCUAGUCUGCAGGCUCUGGUUCUUAGCAUUCAAGUAAUUAGCACAUUUUGACAGGGUAAAAGUGGCCACCCAGCCUCUCCCUUUGAAGGGGCAGAGGUCAUUGACAGCUGCUGCUUGGGCCUGUGGGGGUAUUCUGCUUGAGACCAGCUGGGGGAAAUAGAUCCCAGGAAGAGUGGUCACUCAAUGAUGAGAGUUCUGUUCCUUUUUCUUGUAAACAGUGGACACCCUUGAAGGCCCAUCUGCACAGUUCCAAUCCUUUCUGCACCUGGUUUUUUGUUUUCUUUGCUGGAGAACAGUUGCCUGGUAUGCAUCAGGGAUCCCCAUCUGCUUCACAGAUAGAUAGCAGCAGGGUUCCGAACUCUGCUUUAUAUCUGACAGUCAGUGACUCCUACUCCCUGACAGAAUCUCACCCGGGCCCCAAAAUUCAAUAUUACAAAUGUUUCAGUGGCAGAAUUUGAUUACAACAUGAAACUGGAAAAAAAAAGAUUAUAUACCUACACAAGACUUACAAGUGAUAUACUUCUUGACUGGCCAUUUAAUUAAAGUCUUAUGCCUCUUUGAAAACCUCAACUUCAGUUUUCUUUCCC